rnacentral:rRNA from 1 species
GAUGAACGCUAGCUACAGGCUUAACACAUGCAAGUCGAGGGGAAACGACAUCGAAAGCUUGCUUUUGAUGGGCGUCGACCGGCGCACGAGUGAGUAACGCGUAUCCAACCUGCCCAUCACUUGAGAAUAACCUUGCGAAAGUAAGACUAAUACCCAAUGACAUCCCACGAAGACAUCUGAAUGGGAUUAAAGAUUUAUCGGUGAUGGAUGGGGAUGCGUCUGAUUAGCUUGUUGGCGGGGUAACGGCCCACCAAGGCAACGAUCAGUAGGGGUUCUGAGAGGAAGGUCCCCCACAUUGGAACUGAGACACGGUCCAAACUCCUACGGGAGGCAGCAGUGAGGAAUAUUGGUCAAUGGGCGAGAGCCUGAACCAGCCAAGUAGCGUGCAGGAUGACGGCCCUAUGGGUUGUAAACUGCUUUUAUAAGGGAAUAAAGUGGGUCUCGUGAGACUUUUUGCAUGUACCUUAUGAAUAAGGACCGGCUAAUUCCGUG